GGGCAGAUGGCAGAGCGGUCAAAUGCAUGUGGCUGUAGACCACACGUCCUUGUGACUACGGGGGUUCGAAUCCCUCUCUGCCCACCA
rnacentral:tRNA from 1 species